rnacentral:rRNA from 1 species
AGACGUAGGGUGCGAGCGUUGUCCGGAAUUACUGGGCGUAAAGAGCUCGUAGGUGGUUUGUCGCGUCGUCUGUGAAAUUCCGGGGCUUAACUCCGGGCGUGCAGGCGAUACGGGCAUAACUUGGGUACUGUAGGGGAGACUGGAAUUCCUGGUUUAGCGGUGAACUGCGCAGAUAUCAGGAGGAACACCGGUGGCGAAGUCGGGUCUCUGGGCAGUAACUGAAGCUGAGGAGCGAAAGCAUGGGUAGCGAACAGGAUUAGAUUCCCUGGUAGUCCAUGCCGUAAACGGUGGGCACUAGGUGUAGGGGUCUUCCACGACUUCUGUGCCGUAGCUAACGCAUUAAGCGCCCCGCCUGGGGAGUAAGGCCGCAAGGCUAAAACUCAAAUGAAUUGACGGGG